rfam:Triticum aestivum genome assembly, contig: Triticum_aestivum_CS42_TGACv1_scaffold_424663_5BS
CUUGUACUCCCUCCGUCCGAAAAUACUUGUCAUCAAAAUGGAUAGAAGGGGAUGUAUCUAGAACUAAUAUACUUCUAGAAACAUUCUCUUUUAUUCAUUUUGAUGACAAGUAUUUCCGGACGGAGGGAGUAGUUG